rnacentral:lncRNA from 1 species
UCAUGAUGAAUCUUGAUGCUUCAUUUGAAUUAUUAUGUGUGUGAAUUGUGAAUGAUGAAUAAUAAAUGAAUUUAAUCUAUAAUGUAUGAGAUAAAGGUACAAAAAAAAAAGUUUUGCCCUUGAAUUGGGUUAAAAAAACAAAAACAUAUUUUGUCCCAAAACAAAAUGGCAAUUACCAUUGCCAUACCAUGCCAACCAAAUUUUUGGCAAUACCGAACUUCGGUAUACCGAAAGUUUGGUACGGUAAUGGUAAUAGAUUUUACCAAAUCGAAAGUUUGGUACGGUAAUUGGUACAAGGGUUUUGGUACGGUAACCGUACCGAACCCACCCCUAGUUAAGUCUCCCAUGGAAUGAAACAAGCAUUAUCUUAUUUUAAAAAUAGAAUAGGAUCAUUUCCCUCC